AUCGCUUCUCGGCCUUUUGGCUAAGAUCAAGUGUAAUAUUAGUUAUGAAUCAAUUCGUUAUUUAUGAAUAACCAAUGUAUCUAUAGAAACCCCAAACAUAGUAACACUUCCUAUGAUAAAAUAAUU
rnacentral:snRNA from 14 species